AUGCAUCAGUUUAAGGCGAGUGUCAUUUCUUCAACGGGAUGGAGCAGGUGCGGUUCUUGGCCAGAUACACCUACAGCGCGCAGAAGGAUGUGCACUUCGACAGCGACGUGGGGGAGUUCACUGCGGUGAUCGAGCUGGGGAGGCCGGACGCCGAGUACUGGGAGCACUGGAACAGCCAGAAGGACCUCCUGGAGCGGACGCGGGCCGAGCUGGGCACGAUGUGCAGAUCCAGCUACUGGGGUAUUGGGAGCUUCGUGAGGCAGCAGCGAGUGGCGCCUACAGUGACUGUGUAUCCUGCAAAGACACAGCCCCUGCAGCACCACAACCUCCUGAUCUGCUCUGUGAAUGGUUUCUAUCCAGGCCACACUGCAGUCAGGUGGUUCCGGAACGGCCAGGAAGAGGAGGCGGGGGUGGUCUCCACAGGCCUGAUCCCUAAUGGAGACUGGACCUUCCAGACCAUGGUGAUGCUUGAAACAGUCCCUCGGAGUGGAGAGGUCUACACCUGCCACGUGGAGCACCCCAGCCGGACCAGCCCUGUCACAGUGGAAUGGAGGGCACAGUCUGAAUGUGCUCAGAGCAAGAUGCUGAGUGGAAUCGGAGGCUUUGUUCUGGGUCUGCUCUUCCUUGGGGUGGGGCUGUUCAUCUACUUCAGGAAUCAGAAAGUUGACCUCAAAUUUCCUGGAAAUCCAGAAAUUGACAGUCCAUGAUUAGCUGUGGUUGAAACAUAA